rnacentral:rRNA from 1 species
GACGAACGCUGGCGGCGUGCCUAAUACAUGCAAGUUGAGCGCUGAAGGUUGGUACUUGUACCAACUGGAUGAGCAGCGAACGGGUGAGUAACGCGUGGGGAAUCUGCCUUUGAGCGGGGGACAACAUUUGGAAACGAAUGCUAAUACCGCAUAAAAACUUUAAACACAAGUUUUAAGUUUGAAAGAUGCAAUUGCAUCACUCAAAGAUGAUCCCGCGUUGUAUUAGCUAGUUGGUGAGGUAAAGGCUCACCAAGGCGAUGAUACAUAGCCGACCUGAGAGGGUGAUCGGCCACAGUGGGACUGAGACACGGCCCAAACUCCUACGGGAGGCAGCAGUAGGGAAUCUUCGGCAAGGGACGAAAGUCUGACCGAGCAACGCCGCGGGAGUGAAGAAGGGUUUCGGAUCGUAAAACUCUGUUGGUAGAGAAGAACGUUGGUGAGAGUGGAAAGCUCAUCAAGUGACGGUAACUACCCAGAAAGGGACGGCUAACUACGUG